rnacentral:rRNA from 1 species
GACGAAGGGGGCUAGCGUUGUUCGGAAUUACUGGGCGUAAAGCGCGUGUAGGCGGUUGCCCAAGUCGGGUGUGAAAGCCUUGAGCUCAACUCAAGAAAUGCACUCGGUACUGAGUGACUAGAGGACCGGAGAGGAUAGUGGAAUUCCCAGUGUAGUGGUGAAAUACGUAGAGAUUGGGAAGAACACCAGUGGCGAAGGCGACUCGCUGGACAAGUAUUGACGCUGAGGUGCGAAAGCGUGGGGAGCAAACAGG